rnacentral:rRNA from 1 species
CAGUCGCCGCGGUAAAACGGAGGGUGCAAGCGUUAAUCGGAAUUACUGGGCGUAAAGCGCACGCAGGCGGUCUGUCAAGUCGGAUGUGAAAUCCCCGGGCUCAACCUGGGAACUGCAUUCGAAACUGGCAGGCUAGAGUCUUGUAGAGGGGGGUAGAAUUCCAGGUGUAGCGGUGAAAUGCGUAGAGAUCUGGAGGAAUACCGGUGGCGAAGGCGGCCCCCUGGACAAAGACUGACGCUCAGGUGCGAAAGCGUGGGGAGCAAACAGGAUUAGAUACCCCUGUAGUCCCUGUCUCUUAUAC